GUUAUUCUCAAUCGUGAGGAAAUCGUCCAGAUAGUGGACUUGCACACAUUUCGUAACAACCAACAUAAAGCUUCUCAAACGUGUCAAAAAUACGUGGGCUGCUUUUGGAGCCAAAAGUUAGUCGGGUGAAGAAAUAAUACAUCCCCUGCCAUUUAAUUCCGUGUCGAUGCCAUAGGGAAGGAUGCAUGGGUAGUAAUUUAAAAGCGUUUACCACGUCGGUUUUACUAAGCCAUGCUCCUGUGCCAGCUUGAAGAAUGGCCCGCUAUGGCCUGGUCGAUAGUGGCAUAGUGGAGUGAAAAUUCUUCGGAAGGUAUUAGAGAGUUAAGGCUGGGGACAGUGGAGGUAUGUGGUGCAGAUAAAUCAAUUAUCAGUCUGGGUUUGAGUGAGGUCUUCCCUGUGACCACCCCUAUGGGAUUGGUUCUCCAAGAUGUGAAGGGUGGGGAAAAGAAUGACCCCAACAGAAACCCUUGUUUCACCUCGGUCGAGAUAAGAGUGUUUACCAACUGUGGAUCGUCUAACGUGGAUUGUAGGUUGUCGCAUUCCAGUGUACCGGGGGGUAAAUGGACCAACCCGGUGUGAAACCCUUCAGUCAUUCCCGUAAUAAUAUAGUCCGUGAAAUGACGUGAUGGGUGUAGUUGUAAUAGCGAGCUCAAUAAUGUGAUGUUCACACACGUGUGAUACGGUUUGUGGAAUGCUUUAUUCGGGC